GGCCUUGUAGUUCAAUGGAUAGAAUAGAUGUUUCCUAAACAUUAGAUCUAGGUUCGAUUCCUAGCGAGGCUA
rnacentral:tRNA from 1 species